UGCUUUAAUCCAUUUGCAGCCUAGUACAGGGAACAUUUGUCUUCUCAAAUGCUGUUAGAGGCAAGCGCACUGGCUGUCAGUGACACAAGAGCUACUUCAGGGCAGUGAUAGUACUGGAGAAACCUCACCCCUACCGAAAUGCUUUUAAGAAGAUUUUUAUAGGAGAGAAAAGAUUGAACUGCACUUCACAAGAUAGAGUCUCUUCAUCUUCUGAUUUCUGGUGGCAUUCAUGGCCUGCUCUCCCAUUACCACGCCAGAUCUAGUGGUACAGUACAGUUAAUACAGCAUGAAUACUUUUUGCUAACUAAAUGGUAAGUGACUCAUUCAAAAUGUAUAUACUGGGUAUCUACUAGUGGGCGGGGCACUCCCUUGGAAGUCAAUUGAGUAAGACCUUCUUCUAUCUUCAAAAAGCAAAACCUCCAAGCUACAUAAAAUAAUUCAUAUGGAAAUAUUGAAGUACUUGCUUCCUACAUGUGCUGUACAGCACAGGGAGUAAUUGAGUGUCCCCAACCUGCUGGUACCUCCAAGGUUUACCUAUUUCCAGUUCUUAGCAUGAGGCCAGGCACUCAGUCAACACUUAAUACAAGUUCAAGCAAGGAGAAGCAGGCCCUCCAGAAAGCACAAAGUACAUAUCCAAUAACAUUCUGUCACUGAAGGUUUGGGACAAAGGCCGCAGUGAAUCUCACUAAUGGCCAGAGAGUGCACAGGAGAGGUAACACAGUUCCCAAUGGAGGUGACAGGAGAAGAUUUUCAUGGAGCACAGGCAUUUGAGCUGAGCUUGGAAGCAGAAUUUUGACAAGUAGGAAGCCACAGAGAUGGGGAGGAUGUCCAGGUGGACAGGAGAAGGAUGAUGUGAUUCUACUGAGUGUGUGGCUGCCAGAAGACAGGCCUUCCGCAGCUGCAGCUCUGGACGUCUCCGUGGCCCCAUCUGCUCCUUACUGUUAUUGAUUUCAAAGGUUAAAGAGCUGCCGUGGUAAGCGAAGUGCAGGUCCUUGCACUCCUCGGAAAAGCACUCCAAUCCAGAUGUAAAAGGGUUUGAAGAGUUUAAUAUCCCACAACCCAUCUCUGUUGUGUAUAAAACAGAGGCGGAAAAAUUUUUCUUUCACGUUAAGAGAGGCAGACCACAAAGACCGCUCGGGUAAUGACCAAUCACACCCACCUCAUGGACGCUGGUCUAAAAACAUGAACAAACUUCAAGCUGCAUAAGAGUGGAGGCCAUUCAACACACAAAGGACCUCACUGCUACAAUGGAAACAUGGCCUUCAUGAGGGCAGGUGGACUUAAGGAUUUGGUCUAAUCCAAGUUUGGAUCCUGAGUAAGUUGCCUCUCAGCGGAAGUCCCAAUUGUCCAGGAAAUCUGGGAAGAUGGUGGCUACAGGAGAGAGAAUAGGCUUCCUCUAAAAAUCCUAACAUUAAGCAAUGGGCUUGAGCUAUACACACAGCAGAAGGUUCCGACAGCAAAGGAAACACCAGUGUCCACCCUGUGUUCACAUGCCUGACUCCCAAGAAAGGGUCCACAUGCAGAGAUCAGCUACUGAGUCUGAUAUCCUAAAUCUCCUAGAUUAUACACACAAUCUCCUAGAUUAUAUAGAUUAGAAGCAGCAGGCAGUUAAAACAAAGAAAAAGAAUAAUCAUUUUCAAAUGCAAACAUAUUUAAAAACUCAGUAACAGUCCAGGAGCACUGAGAGGAACUAAUAGCUUUACCAGCUUCAAUCGCUCUUGCGUCACUGCCACCCCCAAGGAUACUAAAAUAAUUUAUUACAAGUGGAAGAAAGAAAUAUGGCUUGGUAGCAGAACAUAUAAAAGAGAUUUAGGAAUUCUGGUUCAUGCAAAGUUCGCUGUGAAUUAAGUGUGUGGCGCCUACCAGCAGCUUGUGCCAUCUAAGGACGUGUGCUGUAGCUACAGUCGCCUGAGGACGUGAGGGUGGAGGUCUUUUCUCCUUACCCGGUUCUGGCAGACCAGAUUACUUCUGGACUCCUUGUUAUGAGAAAGAAGAGUAAGUAUGUAUGCAGAGGAAGGCCACUCUGAGAAGACCUAAAAACGCAGAAUACGAGAAAGAUCCUUUUCCUAAAAUGAGAGGACAGAGAGAGUAGGCAAUAACACAUCAACCCAAAGCUAGGACUGAGUUAGAACUGCUCCUGCUAAGGCAGGUGGGGGACCUAGUGGCCCUCACAGGCAUCCCUGAGAUUACAGAUCCCCAGGGCAUGACACCGACAAACACACUUGUGCUGCAGGUAGUGGUCCCCGCAAGGGUUACUGGUGAUCUGACCACAUUUAUAUAGUGGCCCCAGUUCAGUCUCAGCAGCUCUGCCUCCUCUUCAGUCCUGCUUUACCAACCAGAGAAAGCCAGAAUGUGGUGAUGGUAUGCACGUGAUAAACAAGACUUGGGGAAUGCAGACACUUUAUAUUUGGUUUGCACAGUCUCCCUUCCCAUCCCCUGGUUGAAGCCUGUUUAAAAUAUGAAUGGACUUGACACUCUUAUUUCUUUUUCUUUUUUGACACAGAGUCUCACUAUGUAUGUAGUCCAGGCUGGCCUCGAAUUCAUGACGAUCUUUCUGCCUCAGCCUUCCAGUGCUGGGAUUAUAGGCGUGUGUCAUUAUGCUUGACCUAUUUCCAAUUUCUUGAGACAACUAGAAUUCUGGCAGCCUAGGGCCUGCAUCAUGUACGGUGACGAUGGACUAGAAAUGAAGGCAGCUUCCUCUUUUGGUUCUUGCCCUCUGUAAGUAACAUGACAACCUUUUGAACAAGUAAAAA